UACGUAGGGGGCAAGCGUUGUCCGGAUUUAUUGGGCGUAAAGAGCGUGUAGGCGGUUUGGUAGGUCCGUUGUGAAAACUCGAGGCUCAACCUCGAGACGCCGAUGGAAACCAUCAGACUAGAGUCCGGAAGAGGAGAGUGGAAUUCCUGGUGUAGCGGUGAAAUGCGCAGAUAUCAGGAAGAACACCCGUGGCUAAGGCGGCUCUCUAGUACGGUACUGACGCUGAGACGCGAAAGCGUGGGAAGCGAACAGG
rnacentral:rRNA from 1 species